AGUCUCCACUCACGGCCUCCGGGACUUCAGCCACCUUCUCCCGGGGCUCCUCUAGUAUAUCAGCCAUCUCCUCUACUUGGCUGGCCUCUGCCCUCUCAACCAAGUCCGUCACCUCAGUGUCCUCUGGGACCUCGGCCACCUCCUAUACCCAUGUGUCCUCCGGGACCUCGACCACCACCUCCACAUGCAGCACUUGGACAAUUUUGAAAUUAGAAGACUCGCCUGAGCCAUGAUAUCUUGGAAAAGUUUCCAACAUGUUUUACCCUCCACACCUGGUGCUGCCUCCUCCCCCUGUCAUUUCCAUAAUGUCUCCCUUAGGCGUCUGCUUCCUGGAGGACCGGCUCACACCCCAGGGCGUGCCAGCACCUGCACACCUGUGGCCCACAUCUGUGCUGUCCCCAGGCCAAGGUAGAGUGCACCAGCUGAUGCCAAAAGCCACCUGCCCUGGCUCCAUGCUUCCAUGCCCCCAAUGGCCAUGAGCAUAGCCACCAAUCUCCACCUCUUCUGGUACCAUGAAGAUGAAUCUUGACAGUGUCAGCUCUUUUUCAGAAUGGAAAUCGGCAGAAUGGCUACAGAGACCGCUUUGCACAUCAGGAGAUCCAUAGAGAGGCCUCUCUGGAAGCUGCCAUCUCUUCUGAAGGAUCCUGCCUUCCCAGCCUGACGGGCCUCCUCCAGCAGAUGCACUCUCUCCACACAAAGUGUCUGCCAGCCUCCAGCCUCCAGCCUCCACUUGAAUGGAGGCAGUUACCCCAGUGAAUUAUUUCCUCUUAGCUGGAAUAACAGACUGAAGGAAGAGGCCCUCGCCACACUGUGGAUGACCUGCCUGUGUGAUUGCUGGGGCUGGAGGCUCCAAUCACAGGCGCUUCGUCCUCAUUACACACCUGUAGCUUCAUGUUGGUUAUGAACAACUUUUCUUUGUUGGAUGCAUUUUGAAAUUUUUCAUCUAAGGGGUGACUGAAAAUGUUUAGUCCCAUAAAUAUCAACAAUAUGGUAAGCAUAUGGGAGAGUGCACCCACAUGUCAAUUCUGAAAUAAUUACAGGAUUUACAUAUUUGAGGAAAAUCUCAUAGCUCUAAUUACGUAGAAUUCACAUGGAGGCAGGUAUCUUCAUGCAGGCACAUAUUAAGAACAAACAAGCAGAGCACAGUUAGGGCGUGCACCCCAAAAGUUGGGGUGGAGAUGAAAGGGCAAGGGGGACUGUGGUUGGGGACUAUGAUUUAGGGGUUCCAGGAAGGACUCGCUGAGAAUUAGGAGGUUUUAGUAAUUGAAAGGCUGUAUUUUGUGGGAGGCUGUAAUGAAACAUAAUUCCUGGGUUGCAGGGAAGAGCUGAAGCUACUGAGGAGGGAAAUCUUGGACAUGUGGGUGGAAUGAGAUGAACAGUGAUGGUGAAACCACAAGAAGGAAAGAGGAGGUGGGAAGACAGAGAGCGGUGGGAAGGCCUGGGAGGUGUCUCGGAAGAGAAGUGGUGGCCCAGGCCCAG
rnacentral:lncRNA from 13 species